UUGAGGAUGGCAUGUAUGCUAAUUUGGGCAUAGGAAUCCCUCUCCUGGCCAGCAACUUUAUCAGCCCAAAUAUGACUGUUCAUCUUCAAAGUGAAAAUGGAGUCCUGGGUUUGGGUCCAUAACCACGACAACGUGAAGCUGAUGCAGAUCUCAUCAAUGCAGGCAAGGAAACAGUUACUAUUCUUCCAGGAGCCUCUUUUUUCUCCAGCAAUGAAUCAUUUGCAAUGAUUAGCGGGGGAUAUGUCGAUCUGACAAUGCUAGGAGCGAUGCAGGUUUCCAAAUAUGGUGACCUGGCUAACUGGAUGAUACCUGGGAAGAUGGUGAAAGGAAUGGGAGGUGCUAUGGAUUUAGUGUCCAGUGCCAAAACCAAAGUGGUGGUCACCAUGGAGCAUUCUGCAAAGGGAAAUGCACAUAAAAUCAUGGAGAAAUGUACAUUACCAUUGACUGGAAAGCAAUGUGUCAACCCCACUAUUACUGAAAAGGCUGUGUUUGAUGUGGACAAGAAAAAAGAGCUGACUCUGAUUGAGCUCUGGGAAGGCCUGACAGUGGAUGACAUACAGAAGAGUACCGGCUGUGAUUUUGCAGUUUCACCAAAACUCAUGCCAAUGCAGCAGAUCGCAAAUUGAAACAUGAAUAUUUGUACCAGGCUGCGUGUUUUUCAUUUUAAACACAUAGGAUUUAAUUGAAAGGACACCAAAAAUCAUAAUUGUGUAUUUAACAGGUGGUUUUUGAUUAGUUUUCUUCUAGGGUUUCAGACUUUAUGCAUCCAUAUAAACUAUUCUCUAGGCAUGCUGUGACAUUUUAAUAAAAAGCAAAAGGAGCAUUUAUAAUUAUCUCAUU